GUGGGGAAUAUUGGACAAUGGGCGAAAGCCUGAUCCAGCCAUGCCGCGUGUGUGAAGAAGGUCUUCGGAUUGUAAAGCACUUUAAGUUGGGAGGAAGGGCAGUAAGUUAAUACCUUGCUGUUUUGACGUUACCGACAGAAUAAGCACCGGCUAACUUCGUGCCAGCAGCCGCGGUAAUACGAAGGGUGCAAGCGUUAAUCGGAAUUACUGGGCGUAAAGCGCGCAUAGGUGGUUUUGUAAGUUGGAGGUGAAAUCCCCGGGCUCAACCUGGGAACUGCCUCCAAAACUGCAUGACUAGAGUACGGUAGAGGGUAGUGGAAUUUCCUGUGUAGCGGUGAAAUGCGUAGAUAUAGGAAGGAACACCAGUGGCGAAGGCGACUACCUGGACUGAUACUGACACUGAGGUGCGAAAGCGUGGGGAGCAAACAGGAUUAGAUACCCGAGUAGUCC
rnacentral:rRNA from 1 species